rnacentral:rRNA from 1 species
ACUGCUCAGUAACACGUCGAUAAUCUGCCCUUGAGACCUGGAUAACCUCGGGAAACUGAGGCUAACACGGGAUAGGGGAAUUCUACUGGAAUGUGUUUUCCUUUAAAGGCAACGCUCAAGGAUGAGUUGGCGGCGGAUUAGCUUGUUGGUGGGGUAAUGGCCCACCAAGGCGUUGAUCCGUAGGGGCCUUGGAAGAGGUAGCCCCGAGAAGGACACUGAGAUACUGGUCCUAGCCCCACGGGGUGCAGCAGGCGCGAAACCUUUACACUACACGAAAGUGUGAUAAGGGGAUUCCAAGUGUCUAUACUCUUGUAUAGACUUUUUUCGAGAGCAAAAUUCUCGGAGAAUAAGUGGUGGGAAAGACCGGUGCCAGCAGCCGCGGUAAUACCGGCGCCACGAGUAGGGGCCAUGGUUAUUGGGUCUAAAGCGUUCGUAGCAGGUUCAGUAAAUCUCUUGUGAAAUCGUCGGGCUUAACCUGACGGCGUGCGGGAGACACUGUUGAACUAGAGACCGGGAGGGGUUAGGGGUAUUCCUUGGGGAGCGGUAAAAUGCUAUAAUCCUUGGAAGACCACCUGUGGCGAAGGCGCCCUAACCAGAACGGGUCUGACUGUGAGGUACGAAAGCCAGGGGAGCAAUCCGGAUUAGAUACCCGAGUAGUCCUGGCAGUAAACGCUGUGAGCAAGGUGUUUGCAUAUUCUAAUAUGAAUUAUGCAGUGUCCGAAACGAAUGUGUUAAGCUCACCACCUGAAACGCACGGUCGCAAGACUGAAAACUUAAAGGAAUUGGCGGGGGAGCA